rnacentral:rRNA from 1 species
CUCGUAGGUGGUUUGUCGCGUCGUCUGUGAAAUUCCGGGGCUUAACUCCGGGCGUGCAGGCGAUACGGGCAUAACUUGAGUACUGUAGGGGUAACUGGAAUUCCUGGUGUAGCGGUGAAAUGCGCAGAUAUCAGGAGGAACACCGAUGGCGAAGGCAGGUUACUGGGCAGUUACUGACGCUGAGGAGCGAAAGCAUGGGUAGCGAACAGGAUUAGAUACCCCCGUA